rnacentral:rRNA from 1 species
UAACAAGGAUUCCCCUAGUAACUGCGAGUGAAGCGGGAAAAGCUCAAAUUUAAAAUCUGGCGGGUUCCCCGUCCGAGUUGUAAUCUGGAGAAGUGUUUUCCGUGUCGGACCGUGUACAAGUCCCUUGGAAUGGGGCGUCAUAGAGGGUGAGAAUCCCGUCCAUGACACGGACUACCGAUGCUUUGUGAUACACUCUCAAAGAGUCGAGUUGUUUGGGAAUGCAGCUCAAAAUGGGUGGUAAAUUCCAUCUAAAGCUAAAUAUUGGCGAGAGACCGAUAGCGAACAAGUACCGUGAGGGAAAGAUGAAAAGCACUUUGGAAAGAGAGUUAAACAGUACGUGAAAUUGUUGAAAGGGAAACGCUUGAAGUCAGUCGCGUCCGUCGAGACUCAGCCUUGCCUUUGGGCCUGGUGUACUUCUCGGUGGACGGGUCAACAUCGAUUUUGAAUGGCAGAUAAAGGUCUGGGGAAUGUGGCACCUCCGGGUGUGUUAUAGCCCCUCUCCGUAUAUGCUGUUUGGGAUCGAGGACCGCAGCACGCCCUUGUGGCCGGGGUUUUACCCACGUACCGUGCUUAGGAUGUUGGCAUAAUGGCUUUAAGCGACCCGUCUUGAAACACGGACCAAGGAGUCUAACAUGCCUGCGAGUGUUAGGGUGCAAAACCCUUGCGCGUAAUGAAAGUGAAAGUUGGGACCUCUGUCGAGGAGGGCACCGACGCCCGGCCCUGAACUCUUGUGACGGUGCUGCGGUAGAGCAUGUAUGUUGGGACCCGAAAGAUGGUGAACUAUGCCUGAAUAGGGCGAAGCCAGAGGAAACUCUGGUGGAGGCUCGUAGCGAUUCUGACGUGCAAAUCGAUCGUCAAAUUUGGGUAUAGGGGCGAAAGACUAAUCGAACCAUCUAGUAGCUGGUUCCUGC